GGCGAACGGGUGAGUAACACGUGAGUAACCUGCCCUUAACUCUGGGAUAAGCCUGGGAAACUGGGUCUAAUACCGGAUAUGACUCCUCAUCGCAUGGUGGGGGGUGGAAAGCUUUUUGUGGUUUUGGAUGGACUCGCGGCCUAUCAGCUUGUUGGUGAGGUAAUGGCUUACCAAGGCGACGACGGGUAGCCGGCCUGAGAGGGUGACCGGCCACACUGGGACUGAGACACGGCCCAGACUCCUACGGGAGGCAGCAGUGGGGAAUAUUGCACAAUGGGCGCAAGCCUGAUGCAGCGACGCCGCGUGAGGGAUGACGGCCUUCGGGUUGUAAACCUCUUUCAGUAGGGAAGAAGCGAAAGUGACGGUACCUGCAGAAGAAGCGCCGGCUAACUACGUGCCAGCCGCCGCGG
rnacentral:rRNA from 1 species